UACUACGGAGAGUUUGAUCCUGGCUCAGGACGAACGCUGGCGGCGUGCUUAACACAUGCAAGUCUACGAGAAUAAGGUAGCAAUAUCUUUAGUAAAGUGGCGCACGGGUGAGUAACACGUAAGUAACCUACCUUUAGAUUUGGAAUAACCCAGAGAAAUCGGGGCUAAUACCGAAUGAUGCAGCGGCACCACAUGGUGAUGUUGUUAAAGUCUAUAUGACGUCUAAAGAUGGGCUUGCGUCUGAUUAGCUAGUUGGUGAGGUAACGGCCCACCAAGGCUACGAUCAGUAGCUGGUCUGAGAGGAUGAUCAGCCACACUGGAACUGAGACACGGUCCAGACUCCUACGGGAGGCAGCAGUGAGGAAUAUUGGGCAAUGCCCGAAAGGGUGACCCAGCAACGCCGCG
rnacentral:rRNA from 1 species